UUAAUUUUUAAUUUUUAAUUUUUAAUUUUUAAAUUUUUCAAGUAAUUCACUUUUUUUGUACUUUUUAAUAUGUGCUUCACAAACUUUAUGAUAUCUGAUUAGUUUUGCCAUUAUUUCUAAGUCUCGCUCGGUUUAUACAUACAUGAUUGAUUGAGUGAGCGUGUGUAUUUAUAUAUACAUAUACACAUACAUAUAUAUAUAUGCGUAUGCAUGUCCACGAGUUUGCCAUUACUUGUGUUAAUUACAGUUUUAUAACAUUUGCACAUAAACGUACAAUAGAAAAGAUAACAUUAUAUACGUAAAACGAUAUCCUUAAGUUAAAUACUAAUGGCAGAGUAUAAUAAACAACAUGUUCCCUCGUCGAACAAAAAACAGGCGUCCAUAUUGAGUUUUUUCAAAACUCAAGACAGUAAAAACAAUAAAAUAAUACCAAAUGAAAUAAAUAGUAAAAAAGAUGUAAGAGACGAGUUUGGUGAUAAUACAUAUAGUAGUGGUUUGGAUGAUAAUAAAAAGGUUGGAAAUGGUACAUGUUUAAAUAUGAAGGCAAAAGUUAAUCAGAUAGAUAAUUUUCUUUCAAGUAAUAAUAUGGUUGAUAGAGAAAAUAAUUUUAAUAAAGUAGGUGCUUCGAAAAUGCUAGAUAUGAUAAGUGCACAUCAGUAUAACGAUCAAGGUUGUAACAAAAUGAGUAAUAAUGUUACGAAUAACAAUACCAGUAUAACAGGUGGUACUUGUUUUAACGAUGGUAGUGACGAACUUAAUAUGAACCGAUUUUUGAACAGCAAUACCACAAUAAGCACAAACACAAGUAACGAAAAUAACAACAUAUAUAAAAAAAGAAAUGAUAUAAAUACCGAUUUGGAUAAUCAAGAUGAGAGCACAGAGGAUGAUAUUAUAAUAAAAAAGAAAAGAAAAAUUGUGUUAGAGAGUUCUACAGAGGAUCAAAAUGAUGGUGGUGAUAAUGACAUGGUAAAAAGUAUUGAUAAUAAAAAUAAUGUUGCACUUCAAAAUAAUAGUGAUAAACUUCGAAACUUAGUAUACAAUGCAAAUGAUACUGUACCAGACACAUUAUUUGAAGAUAAAAAUAAAGCGGAGAAUAUUAAUUACAUACGUAAUAGAAAAGAA
rnacentral:lncRNA from 1 species